GCUCUCUUAGGCAACGCACAGAGCUUGGAACGCAUCCUAGGGUGUUCAAGGAACCAACUGGACAGGCCCUGCUCAUUUCCUGGAAUGACGAUGGAGCAAAUACUCUCAGAAGCCAUUCCUAAACUGAUAAAAGGUUUUGGUAGUGGAGGGGCUGCAGGGAUGGCUUUUGUGAUAAGAUGCCAGGGGCUGCCCCCACGUCAGACAAAGCCUGCAGCAGUCAGCUCCAAGAUGGUCCUGCUGCUGGCCAAAGCUUGUCACCCUGCAAACCAUGGAGGACCUCAUGCUGCAGCAGAUGGAGAAACCUUGAUGGAAGCUGCAGCCUGUGGAGAUGCCAAGAGGGAGCAGAUUCCUGACAGAAACUGUGGGCCAUGGAGAGGAGCCCAUGAAGGAGAAGGUUUUGUAGCAGGACCUCUGGUGCCGGGGGGACCCACACUGGAACAGUCUGUUCUUGAAGGGCUACAGCCCAUGGAAAGAAGCCAUGCUAGAGCAGUUUAUGAAGAAUGGCAGCCCAUGGGAAGGACCCAUUUGGAGAAGGCUGUCGAGGACUGUCUCCCACGGAAGGGACCCUACCCUGGGGCAAGGGAAGAGCAUGGGGAUGAAGAAGUGGAAGAGAUAAAGCAUUUUGAACUGACUGCAAGCCCCAUUCCCCAUUGCCCUGCACUGUUUGGGGGAAAAAUGUAGAAGAUUUAGGAAUAAAAUUGAGCCUGAGAAGAAGGGAAGGGUGGGGUGAAGUAGUUUUAGUUUUGUUUUUCACUAUCCUACUCUCUUACAGAUCACUGGCAAAAAAUAAAUUUCCCAAAGUUGA